rnacentral:rRNA from 1 species
GACGAACCGUGCGAACGGUGUUCGGAAUCACUGGGCUUAAAGGGCGCGUAGGCGGGUCAGCAAGUCCGGGGUGAAAUCUUUCGGCUCAACCGGAAAAGUGCCUCGGAUACUGCUGGUCUUGAGGGAGGUAGGGGUUUGUGGAACUUCUGGUGGAGCGGUGAAAUGCGUUGAUAUCAGGAGGAACACCGGUGGCGAAGGCGGGUCUCUGGGCCGAUACUGACGCUGAGGAGCGAAAGCGUGGGGAGCGAACAGG